ACUCCUACGGGAGGCAGCAGUAGGGAAUUUUCCGCAAUGGACGAAAGUCUGACGGAGCAAUGCCGCGUGAGUGAUGAAGGUUUUCGAAUCGUAAAGCUCUGUUGUAAGGGAAGAAUAGCAAAAUAGAAUGAGUACUUGUCUGACGGUGACCUUACCAGAAAGCCACGGCUAACUACGUGCCAGCAGCCGCGGUAAUACGUAGGUGGCAAGCGUUAUCCGGAAUUAUUGGGCGUAAAGCGCAUGUAGGCGGCUCUUUAAGUCUGAUGUGAAAGCCUGUGGCUCAACCACAGAAUUGCAUUGGAUACUGGAGAGCUGAGAUCUUGGAGAGGUAAGUGGAAUUUCAUGUGUAGCGGUGGAAUGCGUAGAUAUAUGAAGGAACACCAAUGGCGAAGGCAGCUUACUGGACAAGUAUUGACGCUGAGAUGCGAAAGUGUGGUAGCAAACAGGAUUAGAUACCCUGGUAGGCUCUG
rnacentral:rRNA from 1 species